AUUGAACGCUGGCGGCAGGCCUAACACAUGCAAGUCGAGCGGAUGAAGGGAGCUUGCUCCUGGAUUCAGCGGCGGACGGGUGAGUAAUGCCUAGGAAUCUGCCUGGUAGUGGGGGAUAACGUCCGGAAACGGGCGCUAAUACCGCAUACGUCCUGAGGGAGAAAGUGGGGGAUCUUCGGACCUCACGCUAUCAGAUGAGCCUAGGUCGGAUUAGCUAGUUGGUGGGGUAAAGGCCUACCAAGGCGACGAUCCGUAACUGGUCUGAGAGGAUGAUCAGUCACACUGGAACUGAGACACGGUCCAGACUCCUACGGGAGGCAGCAGUGGGGAAUAUUGGACAAUGGGCGACAGCCUGAUCCAGCCAUGCCGCGUGUGUGAAGAAGGUCUUCGGAUUGUAAAGCACUUUAAGUUGGGAGGAAGGGCAGUAAGUUAAUACCUUGCUGUUUUGACGUUACCAACAGAAUAAGCACCGGCUAACUUCGUG
rnacentral:rRNA from 1 species